rnacentral:lncRNA from 1 species
AUUCAGAAUGCUCCUGUUUGUCUUAAGAAUACUUCAAUUUCGUAAAGAAUGUCUUACAUGACAUCCCGUAGUGACGAUCAAGCUCCUGACCAUUAUGGAGGUGGCACAGCCGGAGGGAUCGUCACCCCUGAUAUGCAUGUUUUAAAUCAGCCUGAAACCUUCGGAAUGCAGAAUCCUAUCGAUAUGAACGCUCCUCAGCCUCUCAGGAAUGAUAAUGAUAUUUCUAGUUCAGAUCCAUUAAUUCUGAAUCAGGAGACUCAUUUCCUUCCUGAAUAUGGAACUGAUUUCGACUCUCUACCCGUCUAUCAUGAUGAUGUUCUACCACCUGGUGUUGGAGAUCUUCCUGAAUACCCAAAUGCACCGAUUAGUGAGAACAAUGGGUUUUACUGCAAUGUAAAUCAUCCUAUCAAAGCUGAGAAUAAAUUAGACGAUGACAUCAAUGCAUUCUUGAAUAAAACUUCCGAAAAACAUGAAAACAAGCUAAAGCGAGACAUAGACAACUUUGUGAAGAUGAAUUCAAAGGCAGCUGACCGACGCAUGAGUGAAGAUAUCAAAGCAUUUCUGAGGAGAUGUAGAAGUCCUUCGCCCAUUGAAAGUGCGAAAAGUUUGUUUCCAAAAAAUAAAAGUUACUCCAAACCAAGUCGGAGUUCAAGUCGAGCACCCUCGAAAGCCAGAGCUUCAUCGCCAUUUGACAGUAAACCAGCAGCACGCCAAUCUCGAUCAAUGGUCAGUAGAACUCGGUCUGUAGUUAGUAGUCGGCCCUCUACAGAGUCAAGGUUUGAAAAGAAAGGCCCUCGUGCGGUAAGGUCUAAAAGUCCACCUGAUAAGAAACCGCCUGCAUUGUUGUCAAGAUCUAAAAGUCCAGAAGAUAAGAAGCCUUUGCCUUUGGCGUACCUUACUCCUGAAGAAAGGAAGAAACUUCGUGGUUAUUCUAGUAGUCCAGAGGGAAGAAAACCGUCACCCACUGAUUACUCAAAGGUUGGAUCAAAGAGCCCUUGUGAUAGAAAAAGAUCAUCAUUCUCUCCAUCGAAAAGUCCAGUUGAUACUACUACAAAACACAGGGAACCUUUCAAUCCCAAUAUACCCAGACAAGAUAGACUGAAACCGAAGAUUUUGCUGAGAGACCGUGAAGCAGCAGAAAAGCGCAAAGACUAUGAGAAGAAACUAGAGACCUUGGCAAAGUUGAAACCUGAAGAAAUCAUUGAAUUAGAAAAGAAAAUAUGGACCAAAUCAGAACUCUUACCCCUUUACUAUUCGCGACAAAAAUCGAACAAAGCUGUCUGUGAAGCCACCCCAAAGCUUCUUGCCUUAUGUGAUAAAUUUGAAGAAAAACUGAUCAAAGCGCCAUAAAGAAUAAGAGCAUCGAAACCUCCGUACACCCCACCUUAUGCAAGAAAAAAGUUAAGGAGACCCUGUUGUCAUCAUGGUAAACGUAAGUAAUGACCAUAUUUUCUAUUUCAAGUUUUCAUUUUAAUCCUCCUUCCUCUCUAUUUCAGCUCACAUUUUAAAAAGAUUUCCCUCACUUUUUUAUCUUUUUUACUGUCGUAAUCGUCCAACAAAGUCAGCUGCCCAAGCCUAAUUUUUGGCUUGCUUAAGUCUUUAAUUUUUUCUGUUUGAAGAAGAAAACCAAAUGAUAGAUCAAAAGUCAGUCAAGGUAAAGAUGAUCUUAUUUUAAACCAUGUCAAGUUGUCAGUUAUCUCUAAUAACAUUGAUCUGAGACUUGUAAAAGAUUUUUCAAGACUUGAAUGCAGGUGUUAGGUUGAAUGUCAUAAGGUUAAAGGAAAUCUUCAAGGGUUCUCCUGAAAAAAGUUAACAUGAUUAAAUGGUAGAAUGUUGCUGCCACAUGAAUUCCAAUUUACAGAAAGAUAUACCAGUGGCUAAAUUGAGAUAGAGGUGGAAAACACCCAGAUUUAUAGGGAGACAUAACUCCAACCUGAGAGAACCUUAGGGUUUUUGGGCCUUCUUACAACAAUUUUUUUUUUUUUUUUAAAUUGUUUCUUUCACUAUACACAAUGUUCGUAUUCUAUGGGUGAAGUAGGAUAAAACUUAGGGAAAAUUAUGGCAGAAAAUGCAUUCUGCUGUGACUAUCUACUAACUGACUCUCUUGAAUUUCCUAAACAAGUAUGUAGUUACUCCGGAGGCAAUAAAUCUGAACUACUACUAAUAUUACGAUUACUACAGUUUCCAGGGUGUCUAGCAUCAGGAUUUUCCCGAUUUUAACAGGAUUUGAGGUUAAUCCGGAUUGAAUCCCGAUUUCAUCAGGAUUUGAGGAAAAAUCGGUCGUAAAAUCAGGAUUUGAAAAAAGUCGGCUGUCCGAUCGGAUUUUUUUAUGCUUUCGCAUACGCUAAUGCAGAAAUUUUAAUUUUUCUCCGCUAAAAUCAGGAUUUGAUAAAAUUUUGAAAUCAGGAUUUAGCAGUCAAAAAUCAGGAAAAAUCAGGAAUUCCCAAAAUGAAAAAAAACUAGACACCCUGAUUUCUCUUUCAAGGAAUAUAAUUCAUAUUCCAAGUCACGAGAAAUUUUAAAGAGAAAACAUGUCAAUUAGAACUUGAAUUCAUACCUUGUCUAGAGGUUCAUUUGGUGCCUCACAAUGUAACUCAAUCACAAUAAUCAAGCUUUCAGACUAAAGCAUUCUUGACAAGGCUUACAGUAAUUCAUUGAGCUUUUUUCACAGACAACCCUAGUAGUUCGAGUGAUACAAGUGAUGAGGACGAAGAAGAAGAGGAGACGGCAGAGAAUAUCAUGAAGAAGAAGCAUGAGCAUCCUCAAGUCUCCACAAAGAACUCUGGUUUAAUGAUCCUGGCCAGGUACAUAAGCCUCAUUUUACAAACUCAAUCAAAUCUAAUCUUCCUUUAUCUUGUUCUUCCAUACUUGCAUUCUCGGAAUAUUCUUUUGUUUAUGGAAGUAAUAAUGAUUGAACCGCGCUG